rnacentral:rRNA from 1 species
UACGAAGGGGGCUAGCGUUGUUCGGAAUUACUGGGCGUAAAGGGCGCGUAGGCGGCCUGUUAAGUCGAACGUGAAAUCCCCGGGCUCAACCCGGGAACUGCGUCCGAUACUGGCAGGCUUGAAUCCGGGAGAGGGAUGCGGAAUUCCAGGUGUAGCGGUGAAAUGCGUAGAUAUCUGGAGGAACACCGGUGGCGAAGGCGGCAUCCUGGACCGGCAUUGACGCUGAGGCGCGAAAGCG